GACGAACGCUGGCGGCGUGCUUAACACAUGCAAGUCGAGCGGAGCGGCGAACGGGUGAGUAACGCGUGAGUAACUGACCCCCUCGCUGGGUUCCCAGUUGGAAACGGCUGCUAAUACCGGAUAGUGGGGGAUGACUCGCGUCCUAUCAGCGUGUUGGCCGGGUAGUGGCAUACCAGGGGGACGACUGGUCGCCGGCCUGAGAGGGCGACCGGCCACAUUGGGCUGAGGUACGGCCCAAACGCGUACGUGAGGCAGCAGAGGGGAGUAUUACACAAUGGGGCAAACCGUGAGACAGCAGCGUCGGGUUCGGGAUGACGGCUUUCUUGUUGUAAACCGCUAUCAGCCAAGACGCGGUAGUGGCAGAAGAAGCACCGGCUAACUACGUGCCAGCAGCCGCGGUAAUAC
rnacentral:rRNA from 1 species